rnacentral:rRNA from 1 species
GGUCCCGCCUGCCCUGUGACUAUAUGUUUAACGGCCGCGGUAUUUUGACCGUGCGAAGGUAGCGCAAUCACUUGUCUUUUAAAUAGGGACCUGUAUGAAUGGCAUAACGAGGGCUUGACUGUCUCCUCUUUCAAGUCAAUGAAAUUGAUCUCCCCGUGCAGAAGCGGGGAUAGAUACAUAAGACGAGAAGACCCUAUGGAGCUUUAGACACUAAAGCAGAUCAGCAUUAAUACCCUGAACAUAGGGCACGAAUAAACUGAUCCCUGCCCUAAUGUCUUUGGUUGGGGCGACCGCGGAGAAAUAUAAAACCCCCGCAAGGACUGAAUGUACUACAUUCACAACCAAGAGUGACAGCUCUAAUUAACAGAACUUCUGACCAGUAAGAUCCGGCAAUGCCGAUCAAUGAACCGAGUUACCCUAGGGAUAACAGCGCAAUCUCCUUUUAGAGCCCAUAUCGACGAGGAGGUUUACGACCUCGAUGUUGGAUCAGGACAUCCUAAUGGUGCAGCCGCUAUUAAGGGUUCGUUUGUUCAACGAUUAAAGUCCUACG